rnacentral:rRNA from 1 species
UUUAAAUUUAGAGUUUGAUCCUGGCUCAGGACGAACGCUGGCGGCGUGCUUAACACAUGCAAGUCGAGCGAUGAAGCUUCCUUCGGGAAGUGGAUUAGCGGCGGACGGGUGAGUAACACGUGGGUAACCUGCCUCAAAGUGGGGGAUAGCCUUCCGAAAGGAAGAUUAAUACCGCAUAAUAUGAGAGAAUCGCAUGAUUUUCUUAUCAAAGAUUUAUUGCUUUGAGAUGGACCCGCGGCGCAUUAGCUAGUUGGUAAGGUAACGGCUUACCAAGGCAACGAUGCGUAGCCGACCUGAGAGGGUGAUCGGCCACAUUGGAACUGAGACACGGUCCAGACUCCUACGGGAGGCAGCAGUGGGGAAUAUUGCGCAAUGGGGGAAACCCUGACGCAGCAACGCCGCGUGGGUGAUGAAGGUCUUCGGAUUGUAAAGCCCUGUUUUCUAGGACGAUAAUGACGGUACUAGAGGAGGAAGCCACGGCUAACUACGUGCCAGCAGCCGCGGUAAUACGUAGGUGGCGAGCGUUGUCCGGAUUUACUGGGCGUAAAGGGUGCGUAGGCGGAUGUUUAAGUGGGAUGUGAAAUCCCCGGGCUUAACCUGGGGGCUGCAUUCCAAACUGGAUAUCUAGAGUGCAGGAGAGGAAAGCGGAAUUCCUAGUGUAGCGGUGAAAUGCGUAGAGAUUAGGAAGAACACCAGUGGCGAAGGCGGCUUUCUGGACUGUAACUGACGCUGAGGCACGAAAGCGUGGGUAGCAAACAGGAUUAGAUACCCUGGUAGUCCACGCCGUAAACGAUGGAUACUAGGUGUAGGGGGUAUCAACUCCCCCUGUGCCGCAGUUAACACAAUAAGUAUCCCGCCUGGGGAGUACGGUCGCAAGAUUAAAACUCAAAGGAAUUGACGGGGGCCCGCACAAGCAGCGGAGCAUGUGGUUUAAUUCGAAGCAACGCGAAGAACCUUACCUGGACUUGACAUCCCUUGCAUAGCCUAGAGAUAGGUGAAGCCCUUCGGGGCAAGGAGACAGGUGGUGCAUGGUUGUCGUCAGCUCGUGUCGUGAGAUGUUAGGUUAAGUCCUGCAACGAGCGCAACCCUUGUUAUUAGUUGCUACCAUUAAGUUGAGCACUCUAAUGAGACUGCCUGGGUAACCAGGAGGAAGGUGGGGAUGACGUCAAAUCAUCAUGCCCCUUAUGUCCAGGGCUACACACGUGCUACAAUGGUAGGUACAAUAAGACGCAAGACCGUGAGGUGGAGCAAAACUUAUAAAACCUAUCUCAGUUCGGAUUGUAGGCUGCAACUCGCCUACAUGAAGCUGGAGUUGCUAGUAAUCGCGAAUCAGAAUGUCGCGGUGAAUACGUUCCCGGGCCUUGUACACACCGCCCGUCACACCAUGAGAGCUGGUAACACCCGAAGUCCGUGAGGUAACCGUAAGGA